rnacentral:tRNA from 1 species
GAUUUUGUAGCUCAACUGGAGAGAGCAAUUGCCUACGAAGCAAUAGGUUUCAAGUUCGAAUCUUGACAAAAUCACAA